AGACCCGGAAGCGGAUCGCGGGGAGUGAAGGCUGCGCCGCCGAGCCUGAGUUUCGCUCUCUCUAGAUUAAAUCUGCGCUUCGCAGUCCCCCUUCUUCCAUCCCCCGGGUCUGGAGGGGUCCCUACAGAUCUUAAAAUGACCACACCGCGCCCUCCACCCCAGAUUAACCUUUAAAGACUCAUGUGGCCUGAGGAAGAAGUCCAGAAGAGAAGAAAGAGGAGACAGGGAUGGCUCUUUCUCAAGCUGGAGUACAGUGGUGCGAUCUUGGCUCACUGCAGCCUCUGCCUCCCGGGUUCAAGUGAUUUUCCUGCCUCAGCCUCCCGAGUAGCUGGGACUACAGGUGCCCGCCAUUUCACCACGUUGCCCAGGCUGGUCUCGAACUCUUGACCUCAGGGAAGGUUGACAUUCAGGGACGUGGCCAUCGAAUUCUCUCAGGAGGAGUGGAAAUGCCUGGACCCUGCUCAGAGGGCUUUGUACAGGGACGUGAUGUUGGAGAACUACAGGAACCUGGUCUCCCUGGAUGUCUCUCCUACACAUAUGAUCAAGGAAUUACCA
rnacentral:lncRNA from 10 species